rnacentral:rRNA from 1 species
GUGCCAGCAGCCGCGGUAAUACAGAGGGUGCGAGCGUUAAUCGGAUUUACUGGGCGUAAAGCGCGCGUAGGUGGUUAAUUAAGUCAAAUGUGAAAUCCCCGAGCUUAACUUGGGAAUUGCAUUCGAUACUGGUUAGCUAGAGUAUGGGAGAGGAUGGUAGAAUUCCAGGUGUAGCGGUGAAAUGCGUAGAGAUCUGGAGGAAUACCGAUGGCGAAGGCAGCCAUCUGGCCUAAUACUGACACUGAGGUGCGAAAGCAUGGGGAGCAAACAGGAUUAGAAACCCCUGUAGUCC